rnacentral:rRNA from 1 species
GAUGAACGCUGACAGAAUGCUUAACACAUGCAAGUCGACUCGAGUCUUCGGACUUGGGUGGCGCACGGGUGAGUAACGCGUGAAGAACCUGCCUUUCAGUGGGGGACAACAGUUGGAAACGACUGCUAAUACCGCAUAAUGUCAUUUGGGGCAUCCCCGAAUGACCAAAGAUUUAUUGCUGAAAGAUGGCUUCGCGUCUGAUUAGCUAGUUGGUGAGGUAACGGCUCACCAAGGCGACGAUCAGUAGCCGGUCUGAGAGGAUGAACGGCCACAUUGGGACUGAGAUACGGCCCAG